rnacentral:misc_RNA from 1 species
AGCAGCCGCGGUAAUUCCAGCUCCAAUAGCGUAUAUUAAAGUUGUUGCAGUUAAAAAGCUCGUAGUUGAAUUUCGGGGUUAGUAGAUUGGUCAUGCCAUCGGUAUGUACUGGUCUCACUGAUUCCUCCUUCCUGAUGAGCCGUAAUGCCAUUAAUUUGGUGUUGCGGGGAAUUUGGACUGUUACUUUGAAAAAAUUGAGUGUUUAAAGCAAGCUAACGCUUGAAUACAUUAGCAUGGAAUAAUGAAAUAGGACGUUCGAUCCUAUUUUGUUGGUUUCUAGGAUUGACGUAAUGAUUAAUAGGGAUAGUUGGGGGCAUUAGUAUUCAAUUGUCAGAGGUGAAAUUCUUGGAUUUAUUGAAGACUAACUACUGCGAAAGCAUUUGCCAAGGAUUGUUUUCAUUAAUCAAGAACGAAAGUUAGGGAUCGAAGACGAUCAGAUACCGUCGUAGUCUUAACCAUAAACUAUGCCGACUAGGGAUCGGAUGAUGUUUAAUUUUUUAAUGACUCAUUCGG